UGCAGUCGAGCGGGGAGAGUAGCUUGCUACUUGACCUAGCGGCGGACGGGUGAGUAAUGCUUAGGAAUCUGCCUAUUAGUGGGGGACAACAUCUCGAAAGGGAUGCUAAUACCGCAUACGUCCUACGGGAGAAAGCAGGGGACCUUCGGGCCUUGCGCUAAUAGAUGAGCCUAAGUCGGAUUAGCUAGUUGGUGGGGUAAAGGCCUACCAAGGCGACGAUCUGUAGCGGGUCUGAGAGGAUGAUCCGCCACACUGGGACUGAGACACGGCCCAGACUCCUACGGGAGGCAGCAGUGGGGAAUAUUGGACAAUGGGGGGAACCCUGAUCCAGCCAUGCCGCGUGUGUGAAGAAGGCCUUUUGGUUGUAAAGCACUUUAAGCGAGGAGGAGGCUACCGAGAUUAAUACUCUUGGAUAGUGGACGUUACUCGCAGAAUAAGCACCGGCUAACUCUGUGCCAGCAGCCGCGGUAAUACAGAGGGUGCAAGCGUUAAUCGGAUUUAC
rnacentral:rRNA from 1 species